AACCGUCGUAUCCUAAAGCAGUUUGAUUUCCUGCAAAAGCAAAGAGAAGCUAAGAAGCAAUCAGCACUGGAUUGUACCUCUCUUCUAUACAAACAUGUUGCCCAGAAGAGGUGGUGGAUGCCCCAUCCCUGGAAUCAUUCAAGGCCAGCUUGAGGGCAUCCCAAUAACCUGGUCUAGUGGAAGAUAUCCCUGCUCAUGGCAGGACAUUGGACUAGAUGAUCUUUAAAGGACCUUUCAGCUCAAACUCUUCCAUGAUUUUAUGAUUCUAUGAGGCCCCAUGAAGAGAACUUAAGGAUGCCCUCCUCUAAGGAGCACAUUUUG